AACGCGAAGAACCUUACCUGGGUUUGACAUCCUCUGACAGCUGUAGAGAUACAGUUUCGGUAGCAAUACCGCAGAGAGACAGGUGCUGCAUGGCUGUCGUCAGCUCGUGGGGUGACCUGUUGGGUUAAGUCCCGCAACGAGCGCAACCCUUGUCCUUAGUUGCCAGCAUUAAGUUGGGCUCUCUAAGGAGACUGCCGUGGUUAACACGGAGGGAGGUGGGGAUGACGUCAAGUCCUCAUGGCCUUUAUAUCCAGGGCGACACACGUGAUACAAUGGUCGGUACAAAGGGAUGCCAAGCGGUAACGCGGAGCUAAUCUCAAAAAGCCGAUCUCAGUUCGGAUUGGAGUCUGCAACUCGACUCCAUGAAGUUGGAAUCGCUAGUAAUCGCGGAUCAGCACGCCGCGGUGAAUACGUUCCCGGGCCUUGUACACACCGUAGAGAC
rnacentral:rRNA from 1 species